UAAAAUCAAAAUUCUUUCUUUUUAUCCUCCUGGAGUCAGACUUUAUAAUAUGUUAUUCCUUGUAUUUUGUGUAUCCCUUUUCUGAAUCUGGAUUUACUUCUUGCCCGACUUGAAGACAAGAAUCUGUCUGCAGCCCAGUCUUAUCACUAUUCUCAUAUCUUAACAAUAUUCCAAACAGUAUCUUCCCCUUCACUCUCCUGUAUGUAGCUAAAGUCGCCAAAGGUUCAUUUGACCUCUGCACUUGUCCACUUCGAUGCACAAAAUUGAUCAUCUGGCAACGGUUGCAUCCACCCAAUGACGUAAAAGACUUGUUCCCAAUUUUGAGACUUCUCCAUCCAUCUUCUGCGUAAGGUUCACCUCCAGAUAUGACAAGGUUGGGUCGAAAUCUCAUUGGAUUGACUUGAAGGGAUGUUCCGUGAGUUCCUUUUUGCACAUUCUGGCUUAAUCUGUUGUUGAGGUCAGAUACGCUCUCCUCAGAUAUUAAUAAAAACUGAGCUUCAUUGGCAAAACUCAAUCUGCUCUCCACAUCUCUGCACAUGCUCAUAGCCCUGUUCUCGU
rnacentral:misc_RNA from 1 species